rnacentral:rRNA from 1 species
CACGAAACUUGCCCCGAGAUGAGUUCUCCCUGAGACUUUAAGUCUCCUGAAGGAACGUUAAAGACGAUGACGUUGAUAGGCCGGGUGUGUAAGCGCAGCGAUGCGUUGAGCUAACCGGUACUAAUGAACCGUGAGGCUUAACCUUAC